AGGGGCGUAGUUCAAUUGGUAGAGUACCGGUCUCCAAAACCGGGUGUUGGGAGUUCGAGCCUCUCCGCCCCUGCCA
rnacentral:tRNA from 1 species